GUUAAUUGCAUUAUUAUUUUCUUCUCCAGCUCCACCAGAUGUUCAUGUGUUUGUGAAGAAAGCUCCUGAUGAUCAAAGCAAGCUGGUUCUGAGCUGUCUGGCCACUGGUUUCUACCCCAGAGAUAUUGAGAUGAACAUCAGAUCGGACGAAACUGUUCUUGAGAACCAAACAUCAUCUGGAAUCAGACCAAAUGCUGAUGAAACCUUUCAGAUGAGAUCCAGUGUGGAGACUGAUGCAAAUCACAAAGGAUCUUAUGACUGUCUGGUCGUUCACAGCAGUCUGACUCAGACACGACCGGUUUUAACAGUGUGGACUAUAUAUCAACAAACAUUUAGUGCAGAAUCUUUAUGGUCUGUUAUAGCAGGAAUAGCAGCAGCUGUAGUUAUAUUUCUCCCUGUGAUUGGUUGCUGCAUCUACCAUUAGAAAAUCUCAAAUGCUCAGAUGAGAAGUUACCCAAAUAAGUUGGAGUGAUUGUACAGAUCCUCAGUCCAGCGAG